ACUAAAGGUGUGCGCCACUAUGCCCAGCUCGCAUAGAUAUGUUACACAAUCGUUUUAUAGCUAUAAAACUGAUGACACCAACACAAACACAUUGUUACUAACGAAGAUGUGGGUGUUUGGAAUUUCAUCUGUUUUUCUAUUGUAGAAUCCAAACCAAGGCAUUGUAUUACAUUUGGUCCUGUAUCCUUCUCUCAUCUGUGACAGCUUCUCUCCAUCUUUCCUGGUCAGGUAUGUGCCUGAGCGAGCAAGUGUCCUUGGAGGCCAGAGGCUUCGGAUCCCUGGAGUUGAAGUUAUACCUAAAUGUGAACACUUGGCACAGAUGCUGGGAGUCCAUCUCAGCUCCCUGCAGGAAGAGUGUGUGCUCUUGACAAGUGAGCCUCCCCAGCCUUUGUCUGGAUGUCUGAUAAAGCUGGAGUUAUGGAAUUUCUGAUAGUGAUCUUGUUCUUAUGUGACAUCACUGUGACUUAGUGCUGGUGGGCUGACGCUGACUAACUGUAAUCACUUGAUGAAGUGGUAUCUGCCAAGUUUUUCCACCACAGACUUAGUAUUUUCUGCUUUUCAUGUUCUAAACGUUAUCAUUAAACGCAGCCGGAGAGAAGGCUUCAGGGGAACUAUGGAAAUUUUGUGAACUUGUGUUGAAACCACCGCAAUAAUGAAGAAAUAUUUAGGGAAGAGCCUGUGUGAUUCUGUGACCUUGCUUUUUGGUGUCACUCACUUGUCUUAGCAUCCGUCAGAAGGCUUAGUGACAGCACUGUUCUGCAUGCUUAAUGGCAAUUUGUCUACUCUCGUCAUCCUUUCUGCACACAGUAUUUGGGAUUCACCUAUAGUUCAGCACAUCCUUUCUUCAUGGUGGAUUUACUUAUUCACCCUUGGAAUGAAUUUAUGGAAAUGUAUUUUGUGAACAAUUAUUCUGAGACUACUAAUCAAUAACUUUAUUUUUCAUUGCCCAUUGGCAUAAUGUUAUUGUGUACUAUAUAAAGUUUAUCCUUGUAUGACUCAAAUGAUAUCUAUGUCCCCAUAUCUGGUUGUGAUCAGAACGUGCAUUGUAAUGCUUAUUCUAAGAAUCUCCUAUCUCAAUGUUGUUUAAACAUUGCUCCCCAGUUAUCUCUGAUUGGUCAACAGAAAGCUGAUCAGCCAAUGAUGGGGCAGAGGAAAGGAUAGGGUUGGACUUCCAAUCCCAGUCUGUAGAGGAGAGGGAAGAAGAGAGGACCCUCCCUGGAAGAAGGACCCAGGAGUCACCAUGAGAACAUUCUGGAGAAUGUUCCAGAGAGAUCCAGAACAAUACUAAAAUGCAAAUAUCUCGGGGAUUUUGGCUGGGGCAAAGCCAGAUUAACUUAGAGGAUUGGAAUAGAUAAAUAUCUGCCCGGUUAUUCUGCCUUAAAGCUUGUUGAAAAAAAAUCUAAUAGUCUCUGUCUC
rnacentral:lncRNA from 1 species